AACAAGGCGUACCUGCGGACCUGCGGAGGGAUCAUUACCGAGUUAGGGUAGUCACUCACUGCCCGACCUCCCAACCCUGUGUCUAUCACACUUUGUCGUUGCUUCGGCGGACCGGUUGACCAACUGGUCAUGACCGCCGGGGGCUGGCUCUGUCCCCCCUGGAGAGCGUCCGCCGAUGGCCCAACCACAAAACUCUUGUACCGAAACGUGUCGUCUGAAUUAUGUUUGAGAAAUCAAAAA
rnacentral:misc_RNA from 1 species